CGAGGGGCAGCAUGGUCUUAGCUUGCUAAGGCCGAUGGCGACCGGCGCACGGGUGAGUAACACGUAUCCAACCUGCCGUCUACUCUUGGACAGCCUUCUGAAAGGAAGAUUAAUACAAGAUGGCAUCAUGAGUCCGCAUGUUCACAUGAUUAAAGGUAUUCCGGUAGACGAUGGGGAUGCGUUCCAUUAGAUAGUAGGCGGGGUAACGGCCCACCUAGUCUUCGAUGGAUAGGGGUUCUGAGAGGAAGGUCCCCCACAUUGGAACUGAGACACGGUCCAAACUCCUACGGGAGGCAGCAGUGAGGAAUAUUGGUCAAUGGGCGAGAGCCUGAACCAGCCAAGUAGCGUGAAGGAUGACUGCCCUAUGGGUUGUAAACUUCUUUUAUAAAGGAAUAAAGUCGGGUAUGCAUACCCGUUUGCAUGUACUUUAUGAAUAAGGAUCGGCUAACUCCGUGCCAGCAGCCGCGGUAAUACGGAGGAUCCGAGCGUUAUCCGGAUUUAUUGGGUUUAAAGGGAGCGUAGAUGGAUGUUUAAGUCAGUUGUGAAAGUUUGCGGCUCAACCGUAAAAUUGCAGUUGAUACUGGAUAUCUUGAGUGCAGUUGAGGCAGGCGGAAUUCGUGGUGUAGCGGUGAAAUGCUUAGAUAUCACGAAGAACUCCGAUUGCGAAGGCAGCCUGCUAAGCUGCAAC
rnacentral:rRNA from 1 species